rnacentral:miRNA from 1 species
UUUGCGACCAAAUCCAGGCCACG